rnacentral:tRNA from 1 species
GACGAGGUGGCAGAGUGGUUAAGGUGUUUGGCUGCUAAUCCAAUGGGCUCUGCCCACAUGGGUUCGAAUCCCAUCCUCGUCG